AGUGAACGCUGGCGGUAGGCCUAACACAUGCAAGUCGAACGGCAGCACAGUAAGAGCUUGCUCUUACGGGUGGCGAGUGGCGGACGGGUGAGGAAUACAUCGGAAUCUACUUUUUCGUGGGGGAUAACGUAGGGAAACUUACGCUAAUACCGCAUACGACAUACGGGUGAAAGCAGGGGAUCUUCGGACCUUGCGCGAUUGAAUGAGCCGAUGUCGGAUUAGCUAGUUGGCGGGGUAAAGGCCCACCAAGGCGACGAUCCGUAGCUGGUCUGAGAGGAUGAUCAGCCACACUGGAACUGAGACACGGUCCAGACUCCUACGGGAGGCAGCAGUGGGGAAUAUUGGACAAUGGGCGCAAGCCUGAUCCAGCCAUACCGAGUGGGCGAAGAAGGCCUUCGGGUUGUAAAGCCCUUUUGUUGGGAAAGAAAAGCAGCAGGUUAAUACCCCGCUGUUCUGACGGUACCCAAAGAAUAAGCACCGGCUAACUUCGUG
rnacentral:rRNA from 1 species